UCUGGCGCUUGUCUAUGUUCCUUGGAACAGGACGUCACAGAGGGUGAGAAUCCCGUGCGACGGGCUGCCCAGAUCCGUGUAAAGUUCCUUCGAAGAGUCGAGUUGUUUGGGAAUGCAGCUCUAAGUGGGUGGUAAAUUCCAUCUAAAGCUAAAUAUUGGCGAGAGACCGAUAGCGAACAAGUACAGUGAUGGAAAGAUGAAAAGAACUUUGAAAAGAGAGUGAAAAAGUACGUGAAAUUGUUGAAAGGGAAGGGCAUGCGAUCAGACUUGGUAUUUUGUACGUCUUGUCUUCGGGCGGGGCCUCUGCAGCUUGCUGGGCCAGCAUCGGUUCGGGUGGCAGGACAAUUGCGGAGAAAUGUGGCACGGCCUCGGCUGUGUGUUAUAGUCUCU
rnacentral:rRNA from 1 species